rnacentral:rRNA from 1 species
GUGGGGAAUUUUGGACAAUGGGCGCAAGCCUGAUCCAGCAAUGCCGCGUGCAGGAAGAAGGCCUUCGGGUUGUAAACUGCUUUUGUACGGAACGAAACGGUCCUGGUUAAUACCUGGGGCUAAUGACGGUACCGUAAGAAUAAGCACCGGCUAACUACGUGCCAGCAGCCGCGGUAAUACGUAGGGUGCGAGCGUUAAUCGGAAUUACUGGGCGUAAAGCGUGCGCAGGCGGUGCUGUAAGACAGGCGUGAAAUCCCCGGGCUCAACCUGGGAAUUGCGCUUGUGACUGCAGUGCUGGAGUACGGCAGAGGGGGAUGGAAUUCCGCGUGUAGCAGUGAAAUGCGUAGAUAUGCGGAGGAACACCGAUGGCGAAGGCAAUCCCCUGGGCCUGCACUGACGCUCAUGCACGAAAGCGUGGGGAGCAAACAGGAUUAGAAACCCCGGUAGUCC